GCCGGGUGCAGUGGCUCACACCUGUAAUCCCAGCACUUUGGGAGGCUGAGGCGGGAGGAUGGCUUGAACCCAGGAGUUCUAGGCUGUAAUGUGCUCUGCCAAUUGGGCAUCCACACUAAGUUCGGCAUCAAUAUGGUGACCUCCCACCAGGUUGCCUAAGAAGUGGGGAAAUGGUCUAGGUUGAAAAUGGAGCAGGUCAAAAUUUUCAUGCUGGCUGGGCACAGUGGCUCACACAUGUAAUCCCAGCACUUUGGGAGGCCAAGGCAGAUGGAUCACCUGA
rnacentral:SRP_RNA from 10 species